CCGCCGGUGGUGUAAUGGCUAAAGCAUUCCUGCUCGGCUACAGGUGGUGCGGGUUCGAGUCCCACCUGGCGCU
rnacentral:tRNA from 1 species